CUGAAUUAUGUGCUCAAAAUUGGAUUGGGUAUAGAAGAUAUUGCUACUUAAUUCAAGACAAAUUCAUCAAAGUUGAUUGGUUUAAAUCUUUUUUAAUAUGUCAGUCUCAAGGUGGAAAUUUGUUAAGUAUAGAAGAUGAAGAUGAAGAUCUAUUUAUUCAAAAUUUGAUCCAAGACACGUUUGAAAGUUAUUGGAUUGGUCUCAAUAAACUUUGGAAUUACGAAAAUUUUGUAUGGUCAGAUAAUACAUUCUCGCAGUUCUUUAAUUGGGUUCCAAAUCAACCUAGUGGUAAAUCUGAAAACAAAUAUUGCGCACAAGUCAAUUUAAAUGGUUGGGUGAAAAAAGAAUGCAAUUAUUUGGAUGGGUAUAUUUGUAAAGUUAAACAAGACUUUAUUCGGUAAUGUUACAAAGAAAUGGGAAACCAUGGCUAUUGACUAUGGUAUAAGUUGUUGGAUAACUUCCCAAGACCAAGGACUUUAUAAUGCAUUCUUGAAAACAGCAAAGACUUUAGCCUAGGUUUUAAUGACUCUUUAAUUUUUUUUCUAAUUUUGUUUCUUACAGAUCUAUUCUUAUCAUAUGUUCUAUUCUUAUCAGAAUAAAACAAUGCCUACUAUAUGCCCGUAUAUCUUUUAAUUUUGGGAGGAUAUUAAAAGGUCGAUUUUUACAAGAAAAAAUGGCUG
rnacentral:lncRNA from 1 species